rnacentral:tRNA from 1 species
GGAGAGGUGUCUGAGUGGCUUAAGGUGCACGCUUGGAAAGCGUGUGUAGAUGAAAAUCUACCGGGGGUUCAAAUCCCUCCCUCUCCG